GUUGACUGCCGGUGACAAACCGGAGGAAGGUGGGGAUGACGUCAAAUCAUCAUGCCCCUUAUGAUUUGGGCUACACACGUGCUACAAUGGACAAUACAAAGGGCAGCGAAACCGCGAGGUCAAGCAAAUCCCAUAAAGUUGUUCUCAGUUCGGAUUGUAGUCUGCAACUCGACUAUAUGAAGCUGGAAUCGCUAGUAAUCGUAGAUCAGCAUGCUACGGUGAAUACGUUCCCGGGUCUUGUACACACCGCCCGUCACACCACGAGAGUUUGUAACACCCGAAGCCGGUGGAGUAACCAUUUGGAGCUAGCCGUCGAAGGUGGGACAAAUGAUUGGGGUGAAGUCGUAACAAGGUAGCCGUAUCGGAAGGUGCGGCUGGAUCACCUCCUUUCUAAGGA
rnacentral:rRNA from 1 species